rnacentral:rRNA from 1 species
GCAUGCCGCGUGCAGGAUGAAGGCCUUCGGGUUGUAAACUGCUUUUGUACGGAACGAAACGGUGAGCUCUAAUAAAGUUUGCUAAUGACGGUACCGUAAGAAUAAGCACCGGCUAACUACGUGCCAGCAGCCGCGGUAAUACGUAGGGUGCGAGCGUUAAUCGGAAUUACUGGGCGUAAAGCGUGCGCAGGCGGUUAUAUAAGACAGAUGUGAAAUCCCCGGGCUCAACCUGGGACCUGCAUUUGUGACUGUAUAGCUAGAGUACGGUAGAGGGGGAUGGAAUUCCGCGUGUAGCAGUGAAAUGCGUAGAUAUGCGGAGGAACACCGAUGGCGAAGGCAAUCCCCUGGACCUGUACUGACGCUCAUGCACGAAAGCGUGGGGAGCAAACAGGAUUAGAUACCCUGGUAGUCCACGCCCUAAACGAUGUCAACUGGUUGUUGGGUCUUCACUGACUCAGUAACGAAGCUA